CCUACGGGGGGCAGCAGUGAGGAAUAUUGGUCAAUGGGCGGAAGCCUGAACCAGCCAAGUCGCGUGAGGGAAUAAGGCCCUACGGGUCGUAAACCUCUUUUGCCGGGGAGCAAGGGCGGGGACGUGUCCCGGCCCGGAGAGUACCCGGAGAAAAAGCAUCGGCUAACUCCGUGCCAGCAGCCGCGGUAAUACGUAGGGAGCGAGCGUUGUCCGGAAUUACUGGGUGUAAAGGGAGCGUAGGCGGGACUGCAAGUUGGGUGUCAAAUCUACCGGCUCAACCGGUAGCCGCACUCAAAACUGCAGUUCUUGAGUGAAGGAGAGGCAGGCGGAAUUCCUAGUGUAGCGGUGAAAUGCGUAGAUAUUAGGAGGAACACCAGUGGCGAAGGCGGCCUGCUGGGCUUUUACUGACGCUGAGGCUCGAAAGUGUGGGGAGCAAACAGGAUUAGAUACCCCAGUAGUC
rnacentral:rRNA from 1 species